AAAUUGAAGAGUUUGAUCAUGGCUCAGAUUGAACGCUGGCGGCAGGCCUAACACAUGCAAGUCGAACGGUAACAGGAAGCAGCUUGCUGCUUCGCUGACGAGUGGCGGACGGGUGAGUAAUGUCUGGGAAGCUGCCUGAUGGAGGGGGAUAACUACUGGAAACGGUGGCUAAUACCGCAUAACGUCGCAAG
rnacentral:rRNA from 1 species